UACGUAGGGGGCAAGCGUUGUCCGGAUUUAUUGGGCGUAAAGAGCGUGUAGGCGGUUAGGUAGGUCCGUUGUGAAAACUCGAGGCUCAACCUCGAGACGCCGAUGGAAACCAUCUAACUAGAGUCCGGAAGAGGAGAGUGGAAUUCCUGGUGUAGCGGUGAAAUGCGCAGAUAUCAGGAAGAACACCCGUGGCUAAGGCGGCUCUAGUACGGUACUGACGCUGAGACGCGAAAGCGUGGGGAGCGAACAGG
rnacentral:rRNA from 1 species